UACGUAGGGCGCAAGCGUUAUCCGGAAUUAUUGGGCGUAAAGAGCUCGUAGGCGGUUUGUCGCGUCUGCCGUGAAAGUCCGGGGCUCAACUCCGGAUCUGCGGUGGGUACGGGCAGACUAGAGUGAUGUAGGGGAGACUGGAAUUCCUGGUGUAGCGGUGAAAUGCGCAGAUAUCAGGAGGAACACCGAUGGCGAAGGCAGGUCUCUGGGCAUUAACUGACGCUGAGAAGCGAAAGCCAUGGGAGCGAACAGG
rnacentral:rRNA from 1 species